rnacentral:tRNA from 1 species
GAGGGUAUAGCGCAGUGGUAGAGUGUAUGCCUAACAUACACAGGGUCCUGGGUUCAAUCCCCAGUACCUCCA